CCUACGGGUGGCAGCAGUGAGGAAUAUUGGUCAAUGGGCUUACGCCUGAACCAGCCAAGUCGCGUGAGGGAAGACUGCCCUAUGGGUUGUAAACCUCUUUUGUCAGGGAGCAACGCCGGCUACGUGUAGCCGGACUGAGAGUACCUGAAGAAAAAGCAUCGGCUAACUCCGUGCCAGCAGCCGCGGUAAUACGGAGGAUGCGAGCGUUAUCCGGAUUUAUUGGGUUUAAAGGGUGCGUAGGCGGAAUGCCAAGUCAGCUGUAAAAUCGCGCGGCUCAAACGCGCCCCGCAGUUGAAACUGGACGCCUUGAGUUCACAACAGGCAGGCGGAAGUCGUGGUGUAGCGGUGAAAUGCAUAGAUAUCACGAGGAACCCCGAUUGCGAAGGCAGCCUGCCGGGGUGCGACUGACGCUGAGGCUCGAAGGUGCGGGUAUCAAACAGGAUUAGAUACCCUUGUAGUC
rnacentral:rRNA from 1 species